GACGAACGCUGGCGGCGUGCCUAAUACAUGCAAGUCGAACGAGAGCGACCGGUGCUUGCACUGGUCAAUCUAGUGGCGAACGGGUGAGUAACACGUGGGUAACCUGCCCAUCAGAGGGGGAUAACAUCCGGAAACGGAUGCUAAAACCGCAUAGGUCUUCGAGUCGCAUGGCUUGAAGAGGAAAAGAGGCGCAAGCUUCUGCUGAUGGAUGGACCCGCGGUGCAUUAGCUAGUUGGUGAGGUAACGGCUCACCAAGGCCGUGAUGCAUAGCCGACCUGAGAGGGUGAUCGGCCACAUUGGGACUGAGACACGGCCCAAACUCCUACGGGAGGCAGCAGUAGGGAAUCUUCCGCAAUGGACGCAAGUCUGACGGAGCAACGCCGCGUGAGUGAAGAAGGUUUUCGGAUCGUAAAACUCUGUUGUUAGAGAAGAACAAGUGCUAGAGUAACUGUAGCGCCUGACGGAUCUACCAGAAGCC
rnacentral:rRNA from 1 species